GGUGCGUGUGCACAGCCACGGGACUUUUCAUGUUUCAGAGUUGACUUGACUACUCAUUACCUGCCCCCCACUCCCGGGAUGGACCAGUGAGCCUCAGACAGUCCACGCUCCGUAUCAAAUGCUUAUGUCAGACACGUUUCUGACAUCCACCAACUCUGUGCAGGCUAAGCCACCGUGUAGGUCUGGUGACCAAAUUAGGUCAAUCACAGAGUGUUCUAGAUGCCCUGGGGUCUUGAGCCACUGCAGGGGGUCACCAGGCCCGGGAUCCAGACACAAAGCUAUCACGGGACACUUUCUCCUCCGCUGCUGGCUGUCACCUGCUCAGAAGAACCCUCCUGUCACCCCACCUAGUAUCACUGGAGAACAGCAGUGACAAGACCGGUCUGCUCAGAAGAAAGCCUGUCUCCCAGCUGCCCCCAGGCCGUUCCCACAGCAGCUCGGAUGGUGGGUCAGGAGGCUGUGCCCUCCCCUCCCUGGAACUCUGUCAAGUGGUAAGUCAUCUAUGUAUUUAGCCAGUGACGUUCCUGUUGAUGCUUGGGGACGGUUUCACUUUUGCAAACCUUUGUUUCUGUCCUUCGAGAGAACUCAGUCAUCAGCCGGCCUCACAGGAAGCUUUCACAGGGUGAGCAGACUUUUUGAACACGUAGAAAUUAGGACCGAGACCGAUUGCAACGAAACCAAACCACAGUUCUGGGCCCUCUUGGUGUCUUCUUAGAUGGGAUCUUCGGAGAGGCAAGUCUUGUUUCCACCAGGAAAAUGAAGUGUUCUCAAGACCUGGAAGGUUCCUUUUAUUCCCCCGGGGUGUUAGCACACUCCUAGAAAUAUCUCAGGGCUGAAGGAAGAGAUGACGUAGCAUAGCCGCUCUCCGCAAGCAGGGAUGUGUUGGAGAAAUGGUUAGUGCCGGUCUUCUGAGAUGUAGACCUCCGGGUACAAGGAAACGCCAGGAGAGAGAAAGUAUGGCUUCAGGGACCCUAAUCCAAUUUGUGUUUCCCCUGCAGGACCACCCAGCUGUAUGACGGAAAGAUAACCCUUCACUU
rnacentral:lncRNA from 1 species